rnacentral:rRNA from 1 species
GCCGGCAGCUAGCUCUCUGCAACUCUCACAUGGUCGCCCACUGAAGCAAAGCAGGACUGUGUCCGGUCAGUACCUGUAUGGGAGGCCACAUGGGAAAGCUAGAUUGCUGCUGAAA